UGGGCUGUCGCCAAGCGGUAAAGGCACAGGACUUUGACUCCUGCAUACGAGGGUUCGAAUCCCGCCAGCCCAG
rfam:Clostridium sp. CAG:7 genomic scaffold, scf171